rnacentral:rRNA from 1 species
ACAUGCCUACAACAUAGAAUUAAUGUAUCAGAUCCCAUUAGAACUCUUUAGUUAAGCACGCUUGGGCUAGAGUACCACUGGGAUGGGUGACCUCCCAGGAAGUCCUAGUAUCUUACAUGCC